UUGUCACGCCAUGGAGAUUGAAGUCUUCUGUCUAUCCAGAGAGCAUGUACAGCACAGGAAGGUUCAAUGCAAGCUUCCUGCAAAUACUUUGCCCAGUCCGUAAAAGUGGAAAGGAGUACCUUAGGGGUGACAGGAUAGUUCAUUCUUCAUGCCUUGCAGUCCUUCCCAGCU
rnacentral:sRNA from 1 species